GCAAUCAGCUGCAUAUCACCAUAUUCAAUUCCGUUAUGCACCAUCUUGACAAAAUUACCAGAGCCACCUUUACCAACAAAAGUCACACAGGGACCACUGUCAGGAACUUGAGCUGCCACUUUAAGAAGAAUGUCUUCAAUGUAUUUGUAUGCCUCAAAGGAACCUCCAGGCAUCAAAGAGGGUCCAUGCCGUGCACCCUCUUCACCACCUGAAACUCCCAUUCCGAGAUAAAGCAAACCUAAUUCAGCCAUGGCCUUUUCUCUCCUCUCAGUGUUCUCAUACCACUCAUUCCCACCAUCAAUGAUACAAUCACCUUUCUCCAUGUAGGCAGAGAGGGUCUUUAUAGUUUGGUCAACAGGUGCCCCAGCCUUAACAAGCAUAAUUAUCACCCGAGGCUUUUGGAUUGACUGAACAAAAGAUUCAGGAUCAUGGAAACCAUAUAAAGGAAGAUCUCCCUCCUUUUUGGCUCUUUCAACAGUCUCAUCAACUUUGGAGGUUGUUCGAUUAUAAACAGAAAUUGGGAAGCCUUUCUCUGCAAUAUUGAGGGCCAGAUUCUGGCCCAUAACAGCCAGACCUGCGAGGCCUAUUCGUGUUGGUUUUGAUGGUGCAGCCAUACUUUUCCCUGGGGAAACGAUUCCUGAGAAAAAGAAGAGGACCCAGAAAAAUCAAAGAUCUGGGUUUUGAAGAGAGCAGGUCGUUAGGUGAAAACGAUAACGUGGAACAAAUGAAAGAGCGGCAGAUACAUAAAUUGGUGGAGGUGGAGUUUGCUGACCAUGUGCAAACAGUAAGGACUCGGAAUCUCUC
rnacentral:misc_RNA from 1 species